AUUGAACGCUGGCGGCAUGCUUUACACAUGCAAGUCGAACGGUAACAGGGAGCUUGCUCCGCUGACGAGUGGCGAACGGGUGAGUAAUGCAUCGGAACGUACCCAGUCGUGGGGGGAUAACGUAGCGAAAGUUACGCUAAUACCGCAUACGUCCUGAGGGAGAAAGCGGGGGACCGUAAGGCCUCGCGCGAUUGGAGCGGCCGAUGUCGGAUUAGCUAGUUGGUAGGGUAAAGGCCUACCAAGGCGACGAUCCGUAGCGGGUCUGAGAGGAUGAUCCGCCACACUGGGACUGAGACACGGCCCAGACUCCUACGGGAGGCAGCAGUGGGGAAUUUUGGACAAUGGGCGAAAGCCUGAUCCAGCCAUGCCGCGUGAGUGAAGAAGGCCUUCGGGUUGUAAAGGUACGUCUUUCUAGCCGGAAAGAAAUACGCGCAGGAUAAUAACUACUUGCGUGGAUGACGGUACCGGAAGAAGAAGAC
rnacentral:rRNA from 1 species